UACAUAGGGGGCAAGCGUUGUCCGGAUUUAUUGGGCGUAAAGAGCGUGUAGGCGGCCAGACAGGUCCGUUGUGAAAACUCGAGGCUCAACCCCGAGACGCCGAUGGAAACCGUCUGGCUAGAGUCCGGAAGAGGAGAGUGGAAUUCCUGGUGUAGCGGUGAAAUGCGCAGAUAUCAGGAAGAACACCCGUGGCUAAGGCGGCUCUCUAGUACGGUACUGACGCUGAGACGCGAAAGCGUGGGGAGCGAACAGG
rnacentral:rRNA from 1 species